AGAGUUUGAUCAUGGCUCAGGACGAACGCUGGCGGCACGCUUAACACAUGCAAGUCGAACGAGAGAAGAGGAGCUUGCUUUUCUGAUCUAGUGGCGGACGGGUGAGUAACACGUGAGCAAUCUGCCUUUCAGAGGGGGAUACCGAUUGGAAACGAUCGUUAAUACCGCAUAACAUAAUUGAACCGCAUGAUUUGAUUAUCAAAGAUUUAUCGCUGAAAGAUGAGCUCGCGUCUGAUUAGCUAGUUGGUAAGGUAACGGCUUACCAAGGCGACGAUCAGUAGCCGGACUGAGAGGUUGAUCGGCCACAUUGGGACUGAGACACGGCCCAGACUCCUACGGGAGGCAGCAGUGGGGAAUAUUGCACAAUGGAGGAAACUCUGAUGCAGCGAUGCCGCGUGAGGGAAGAAGGUUUUAGGAUUGUAAACCUCUGUCUUCAGGGACGAAAAAAGACGGUACCUGAGGAGGAAGCUCCGGCUAACUACGUGCCAGCAGCCGCGGUAAUACGUAGGGAGCGAGCGUUGUCCGGAAUUACUGGGUGUAAAGGGAGCGUAGGCGGGAUCGCAAGUCAGAUGUGAAAACUAUGGGCUUAACCCAUAAACUGCAUUUGAAACUGUGGUUCUUGAGUGAAGUAGAGGUGAGCGGAAUUCCUAGUGUAGCGGUGAAAUGCGUAGAUAUUAGGAGGAACAUCAGUGGCGAAGGCGGCUUACUGGGCUUUAACUGACGCUGAGGCUCGAAAGCGUGGGGAGCAAACAGGAUUAGAUACCCUGGUAGUCCACGCCGUAAACGAUGAUUACUAGGUGUGGGGGGACUGACCCCUUCCGUGCCGCAGCAAACGCAAUAAGUAAUCCACCUGGGGAGUACGACCGCAAGGUUGAAACUCAAAGGAAUUGACGGGGGCCCGCACAAGCAGUGGAGUAUGUGGAUUAAUUCGAAGCAACGCGAAGAACCUUACCAGGUCUUGACAUCGUAUGCAUAGCUCAGAGAUGAGUGAAAUCUCUUCGGAGACAUAUAGACAGGUGGUGCAUGGUUGUCGUCAGCUCGUGUCGUGAGAUGUUGGGUUAAGUCCCGCAACGAGCGCAACCCUUACUGUUAGUUGCUACGCAAGAGCACUCUAGCAGGACUGCCGUUGACAAAACGGAGGAAGGUGGGGAUGACGUCAAAUCAUCAUGCCCCUUAUGACCUGGGCCUCACACGUACUACAAUGGCUGUCAACAGAGGGAAGCAAAGCCGCGAGGUGGAGCGAACCCCUAAAAGCAGUCUUAGUUCGGAUUGUAGGCUGCAACCCGCCUACAUGAAGUCGGAAUUGCUAGUAAUCGCAGAUCAGCAUGCUGCGGUGAAUACGUUCCCGGGCCUUGUACACACCGCCCGUCACGCCAUGGGAGUCGGUAACACCCGAAGCCUGUAGUCUAACCGCAAGGAGGACGCAGUCGAAGGUGGGAUUGAUGACUGGGGUGAAGUCGUAACAAGGUA
rnacentral:rRNA from 1 species